GUCUCACACCAGUCUCUCCAGCAAUGCCCCACUGCCUGGGGGGCUUGGCCGCACGGAUGCCUGGCCUGGAGCCCCCAGGGUCCUCUGCCAGGCCCUGGUGGCCAGUCUGGGGUCAGACCUGGGGCUGGGCCAUCACCCUGCAAACCUGGUUUGGUUUCUCUUCUGUUGUCUCCUUUUCUGCUUCUUUGCAGUGUUUCUCCAUUGAUUGGACAUUUUCUAUGAAAAGCCCUUGGUGUCCCUUGGAAUGGGACCUCUCACCAGGUUCUCACGAUGCUCACGGAUGUUGACUAGCCCUUUCCCGUGCCCACCCCCAGGCGGCACCUUGUAGUUGGCAACCCCGGGAAGACCUGUGGCUCUCUCUGCUGCUGAGGUCGCUCCGGACACAUGGCCGCCUGUGCUCGCUUCAGUAGAAUUUCUACACAGAACGAUGAUGGCAGAUGAUUCACACACUGGAGAGACUCUUCCCAGUCCAUGAUGCUGAGUGGAGUGAUCAGGGCUCUGCCCAGACAGACCUGAAUCUGAAGCUCCCUCUGCAUUUCCAAGCUUCCAGUGCAGCUCCCUGCCAUACCUCUGGGAACGCCAUCCUCAGGCUUUCAAGCGUGGCAAGGCCCCUGGCAGGGUCACUGUGCUGCGGGAGGGAGGGCAUGGUGCCAGCAGAGGACCCAGCUGUUCCUUGGUCCUCCCAGUGCCGGCUGCAGCCUCCCUCCCACUUUCUGCUCAACCCCGGGGCCUUUGCUGUUUUCAUGGAUACCCGGGCAGACAGCCUGCUCUCCCCUGUUUCAGUGGAGGGGUUUCCCCUUAGGGAGGGCUGGUUACCUUUCUCUUCCUUUAAAAACGGCAAAGCAAACAGGACACAGCCCUGUGUUCAGUGUAAAGAGCAGGAGACUCACCAUGGGGCCACGUAUCUUUUUUAUUUUUUUGGCUUUUUUUCUAUUAACCCAGCAGAAUCCCAGAUUGACCCUCCAAACACAUCUUUUGUUGUUACCUUCAUUCAUCUUUCAGUCUCUCACUGAUCUCUACCGCGUGCUUAGGGAGAGAGAAUCUGUGAAAGGGAAGGAUGAAGGGGCUUUGCAGAGAUGAUUUCUUCUCCUUAAUGUUCCUCCAUUCCCUUGGCAACCGAAUUACUCUGAAAAUGAACUUUUAUUAUGAAACGCAUGGAAGCAGAAAGUCUAAAACAGCACUCAAGACGGCUAUUGGAAGAAUGCUCGUGCAGCUCUCUAAGGACUCAGGGCCUUCCUCUGUGUGUGGACGGGAGCAGGGAGCAGCGUUUCUACAAGGACCUUCCCGCACAGGCUUUCUGCCGCCACCGGCUGGAGUCUCUCUUGGUGCAGUGCGGGCAGAGAGCAGCCUGGGGCCCCGCCCUGCUUGCGGAAGGCCUGUGCUAAACCACUUCAGUUUCUGUGGUUUCCAGGGAAACUCAGCGUUGAUGUAAGAAGCCAACGUUCUCCCUGGCACCAACAGGCUUCUCCU